AUGAGCAAAGCACUGUCACCCAAGUAUAGGGGGUUGUCCACCUAUGAAAAAGAAUAUCUGGCAGUGGUAGUGGCCGUAGACCAAUGGCGCCCAUAUCUCCAACACAGCGAAUUCGUCAUACAGACUGAUCAGAAGAUCCUGGUGCAUUCAGAAGAGCAAAGACUCACGACCCCUUGGCAGCAAAAAGCAUUUACCAAGCUUCUCGGUCUUCGCUACACCAUCAAGUACAGAAAAGAGACAGAAAAUGGGGGUGCGGAUGCUCUUUCCCGUGCUACCCGCGAUGAGCAAUUGCAAGCCAUAUCCUCUUGUCAACCUAGUUGGAUGGAAGACAUCAUUGCCAGCUACAAUUCAAAUCCACAAGCCCAGAAACUGCUGGAACAGUUAGCCAUUAGAGCAGAUCCAAAAGGACGCUUCACUCUCGAGCAAGGCAUCUUACGAUUCACGGGAUGCAUCUGGCUAGGAGGCAGCACAGCAAUGCAACAGCAGAUUAUCAAGGCGUUUCAUGAUACCCCUCUUGGAGGCCACUCGGGCUUCCCAGUAACAUGGCGCCGGGUACGCCGUCUCUUUGCUUGGGCCAAAAUGAAAACACACAUUCAACACUAUGUACGUUGCUGCCCUACUUGCCAACAGGCCAAGCCAGACCGAGCCGCUUACCCUGGACUGCUUGAACCCUUGCCGGUGCCCAAGGAAUCCUGGGAGAUGAUCACAAUGGAUUUCAUCGACGGACUCCCAACUUCUAGAGGUGUGAACUGCAUUCUGGUAAUCGUCGACAAGCUGACAAAAUUUGCUCACUUUCUGCCCCUA
rnacentral:rRNA from 1 species